UCGAGCCGGUCUGUGCUGUGAUCCCGCCAUAUUGUGGAGGAGAAUAUAGCAUCUUACUCUGCCCCGAGAACUCUGCAAGGAAGCUGGAGAAAACCCACAGUGACACAGAGAGAACAAGCAAACUCCACACGGAAGGGCCCCAGCCGGCCGAACCCAACGACAGCGGCAUCAUCCCUCUCCAGUGUGUGAUUAUAGACUGCAUCCAG